rnacentral:rRNA from 1 species
UACGGGGGGGGCAAGCGUUGUUCGGAAUUACUGGGCGUAAAGGGUUCGUAGGUGGCUUGCUAAGUCAGACGUGAAAUCCCUCAGCUUAACUGGGGAACUGCGUCUGAGACUGGCGAGCUUGAGUGCAGGAGAGGAAUGCGGAAUUCCAGGUGUAGCGGUGAAAUGCGUAGAUAUCUGGAGGAACACCGGUGGCGAAGGCGGCGUUCUGGACCAUAACUGACGCUGAGGCGCGAAAGCUAGGGGAGCAAACAGG